rnacentral:lncRNA from 1 species
CAAAACAGAUAUGUUAAAGUUUCGCAAUAAUACAGACUUUACAGAAAAUUAUGAACUUACAAUAUAUUAAUAUCAUUUACAAAUAAAGACAGUCAAUUUGUCCUACACAUUUGGUUAAUGAUCUUCAUCUAAAUGUAUGGAAAGUUUAAUACAGAUAGCCUCAUCCUUCUUAAAAUAUGUCUGAGGCUGUAGUCACACAGUCAUAAAAAGAACUCCCCACUCAUGAAAAAGUAACAAUAAAUAAACCUACCAUGACAAGAUACAUUAGUUACUACAAUACAAAAUGUUUUGGUAUUAAGUAAUACAUGUAUAAUUUCAAAGAUAGAGCAGAAUUUUAAAAGUUAUUUUUCUUAUUUUUAAGGUUUUGCUUGACACAAAUGGACUUUCGUUAUUAAUCAAAACAAUGGGCAAUGUGCAAAAUAAAGUAUAUCCAAGUGGACCGGCCUAGCUGACAGAACAACGAAGAUGAUAGUGUCUAAAUGAUUGAAGGGAAUUAAUUGUCCGUCUUACUUGGAAGUCUCCUGCCACAAAUGGUGCUCUUAACUUUGUAACUAAGAUAAAUUUAGAUAGACCAAGACAUAUGUGAUUACGGAGUUAGAGGUCAAGAGUUUAAAAUGGACAUACAGACACAUUAUUGUUAUUAGGGAUCUUUCCAUAUGCAUGUAUAUGUAGUUGGGGAUAAAACGUCGAUUGUAGAUGUAUCUAUUUUUAGAUUAUGGAUUCAUACUUAAACCAAUGGGACAUAAAUUUUCAUACGGACCUUGGAAGGGCUGUAAAGCCAGUCAAGGUCGUUUAAAUCUUCCAUCAUCAUUUUCACCUGUUUUGUAUAGACACUGUUUAUUAUGCAUACUUUAGCUUUAUUCUCAAAGAAAUUACAUGUGUAUGUAUGAUUGGUUACUCAUGAAUAGUGCAAAUUAAUAUAUCUUACAAAAUUUUAGCCCAUUUUAGCAAAGAUAGUACAUUAAGUGAUCAUGUUUGUUUGAUUAUAAAAAAAUGAAAGUUAGCCUUUAUAAAACAACAAAUUGUCUUAAUUUAAGGAUGUAAAACUAUAUUUAAUUGAAAAAUAGUUAUAAUAUUAAAAGACGUUGGGUAAUUUGCAUGUUUGAUUAAAAUAAUUUAAGUUCAGCAUCAUGUAUAAUUACCAAUACCUUUGUUUUAAAUUGUCCUAUGAUAAACACUUUCUGCAAUAGAUUAUAAAAACUAAUGACAUGUACACCAUACACUCAUUUUGAUUUCGAGAAUCUGAUGGAAAAAAUCAUUUAUGACAACAACAAAAAAUCAUGGUUUUAUAGUAAAUCAGAAUAAUAUAAAACAAAGAAUUUUUUCAUCUUUUUUAAAUCAUGGAAAUAAUUGACACAUAUUAAAUCAAUCUAUAAACGAUUGCGUGAAGUUUCAUAUACACAUGUACCAGCUACUCAUUUCACAAAAAUGAUCAUUUCCACAUAACUUACUAUCAAUUUUAAUUGCAAGACUAUUAAUAAAAAAAGAGCCACUGCACUUUGUAUGUAAAAUAAUAAACCAAAAAUUUUGUACUCUAAAUGUUUUCAUUGUUUAUUUUAAUUGAUUGUUAAAGCUUUCUUGUUAUUUUUGUUCUAUGCAAAUUAGCUUCAUGUUCGUUGUUCUUUUUUCCAUUUGGCCAGUGUUUUUGUUAAUGUUAAUUUUCAAACAUGUUCAUAUCACACAUGAAAACAAUAAAAAUCACCUCAUUGCAUUUAAAAUGAUUGAUUCAGGGAUAGAGUAGACACAUUGUUCAUUUUACACGCAGAGAACAUUCUGUAUCUACGGCAAGCACGGAAUAAUUGAUGGUAUCUACAUAUCAUAAAUACAGUCAAAUCACUAGGAAUUCUAGUAUGAAAGUUAUAAUUUGGGCUUCCCUUGUAAUGAAAAUAUUGAUUUUUUUUAAUGUAUUAUUUAUUUAUAUAUUUAAUUAUGAAGCAGCUAAAUUUUCACAGAUAUAACAAGCUUUUCUUCAAAGCUUGCCCUGCCCUAAAAUGUGAUAUAUGUUUUUAAAAGUGUCAUGAUAAUUACACCUCAAAAUAGAUAUUGCAGAAAAUUAAACUAACGUGUGGUGUAUCAAAAUUUACCAAUUAAAGAUAAUAUUAGAAAAAAGAAUAUUAUUUUCAAACCUCUUGUCAUACAACAAAACUUAAUUUGAUUACCAUAAAAAAAAAAAAAAAAGAAGACAAAAAUGAACAAAAUCAGUGUGUAUAUUGAUUGAAUCUAACGCUUAUGAUAUAAUUUUAUUUUUAGCAGCUUAUAAUUCUUUUAUUUUACCCUCAAGCACUUCAAAAUGAUUGAUAUAUUUGCUACUUGUAACUAUUAGUCCCAAUCAAAUAUUAUGAAUAUAUUGUGUAUAAUACCUCAAUGUAAAAACCUAUAAGCAUUUUGCUUAAAUAAUAACACAAUCAUAUUCCUAAUUUAUUUAUACAAAAGUUGUCAACUUUAAAAAAGAAUUUGUGCAUUUCUGAGGACAAAUUAUUUAAGAUCGGUCUUAUAAAAAAAGGGUUAUAUUUUGAAGUGGGAACAUGUAUCCUAUGAUAAUUACUUGAAAUUUUUAAUAACAGAAUAAGACCAGAGUCCUACAUAGUAGCUGAAUGAAAAUAUUUACUCUAGUAGAAAAACUCUUUGAAAAGUGGACCAUUUUUUUGCUUUUGAAAGUGAUCUCUGCAAGGGAAGAAAUAACGAGCAAGCCUUGUGGGAAUGUUGCUUCUUUAAUUGACAAUGAUGUUUUCUGGCUCUGAAAAUAGUGUAAAUAAAUGAAAUUAGCAGUUCAACUUCAGUUGAUAUUACCCAAUAUAAAACAUGCUUGUUUUGACUAUUGACUUAAAAGGCUUUUAUUUCUUCCCCUGAGUUAUAAUUAGAUGUGUACAAAACAAGUAAAACACAUUUUGUUUUGUUUGACGUAAGGCUUUUGUCUUUAAUUUCUGUGAUAUCUUUUACUUUUAUACCAAUUAUUUAUAGCUUAUUUCUUUCAGUUGCAGCUGAUUAUUUUAUUUGUUUUGUUAUAUUACUCUGCACUAUUAUAAUAACUGGUAUUUUAAAUAUGCUUAGAAAAGGGCAAGGCUAUUUGAAAGGGUUAAGAACUCAAUAUCAAUUUAAAUAUUACUUAGUACAGAUCAACAAGGAUUUUAUGCAGUAUUUUGAAAAUUAUUCUAAACCUGAAAGUGCAGCACUGAAUAGAACUGCAUUAAAAAAUACAGACUAAAACAAUUGCUGAACAAGAACCAUAAUCUUAUGUGACCAAUUUUUUCAACCUGUUUUAACCUAAUAGAUUAUUAUAUAUACUUUACUUUGUUUUUUCCACAAAUAUUAAUAAAGUGAUCAUUUAUUUUGAGCUUUUUAAACUUCAUUCUUGCUCAUAAUUGUACCAAAAUCCUAUCAUACACAAAUCAUAUUUAAAUACAACUUAUUUGAAUAUUCUUAUGUCUGAUUUGCAUCAAAGACAACAAUAUUUAUUUGUAGCUUAUUUAUCUAUAAGAAAUAUGUUUUUACAGAGAGAUAAAUAUACUAUUUAAAGAUUUAGUUUUCUUCGUUUUUAUGCAACUCUGAAGGCAACUCCCACAACAAGUGUUUUGAAUCCUCCAGAGAUCAAAUGACCAAAAAUUUAAGCAAGUAUACAGUUUGAACAAUGAACAAAAGUUGAAAUUCAAGCAUACAUGAUUGAGAUUAUUCUAGAAACCAAAUGUUUGCACAAAACCAGAAGUGUAAGAUUUUAUGUCCUCGCCGUAGCAAAGGGGGCAUUAAGUUUUACCCUUGUCUGCCUGUACACACAUCUGUAUGUCUCAAAUUCGGUUUCAGUUCUCUAACUUUAGUUUGCCUCAACCAAAUGUAUGAAACUUAUACACAGUGCUUAUUACCACCCAAC